UGGAGACAUGAACUGAAUCUAGAAUGUUAACACUUUACCUGUUUAAUAACAUGAUGGAAGACACACUGAGUCAGACAGUAUACAGAGAAGUACCACAUGGAGAAUGAUAGUUUCAUAUAGUUCAUGAAAAACCCUGUAGAAGCCUUGUCAGUCUGUGGGACAAACGUUGCAUUGUGUUGCUAAUCUGUUCGCAUGUGUGUGUGUGGCCCUUAUGUGAGUGCAUGUAGUGUUUGUGUAGUGUGUGGGGUGUAUGGAUGUGUGUCUGUGCCUGGGUGUGACAUUGUGGCCAGCCGGGUGCUGCUCCCCUCCUACACUGGUGGUUGUGUGUGUGCGCGUGUCUGACAGGUGUUUUGUGUGUAUGCCAGACUCCUUUGUGAGCGGUGUGUGUGUGGUGUGUGGUGUGUGUGUGUGUGUGUGUGUGUGUGGUGAGAGUCAUAGUGCCCAGCUGAGUGCUGCUCUCCUCCCACUCUCUGUGUUAAGCUGGGCUCCAGUGAGACAGUCUGGUCAGUCUGGUGUUUGAAAGAGGAAUGAACUCACCAUCACAGAAAUCUCCUACUCCCACCGUGUUACACUACCCAGGACAGGACUCUCCUACUCCACAGUGUUACACUACCCAGGACAGAUCUCCUACUCCACAGUGUUACUUUCCCAGGACAGACCUCUCCUACUCACAGUGUUACUCUACCCAGGACGACCGACCUCUACUACUCCACCGUGUUACUCUACCCAGGACAGACCUCUCCUACUCCACAGUGUUACACACUACCCAGGCAGACCUCUCCUACUCCACGUGUUACACUACCCAGGACGGACUCUCCUACUCCACAGUGUUACUCUACCCAGGACAGACCUUCCUACUCCACCGUGUUCUCUACCCGGACAGACCUCUCCUACUCACAGUGUUACUCUACCCAGGACAGACCUCUCCUACUCCCAGUGUUACACUACCCAGGACAGACCUCUCUACUCCACAGUGUUACACUACCCAGGACAGGACUCUCCUACUCCACAGUGUUACUCUACCCCAGGACAGACCUCUCCUACUCCACAGUGUUACUCUACCCAGGACAGACCUCUCCUACUCCACAGUUGUUACACUUCCCAGGACAGGACUCUUCAUUCUGUCCACUGGUGCAGAGCCGCAGAGUACUCUGGGGUUUGAAUAGAAUAUUGUUGUUGCUGUUGACACGUCUGAGGAUGUGGAAGAGGAGACCAUCACUGUUUCUACCAUAAGACACAGAACUACAGGUUAUUCAACCAAGAGGAAAGAGACAGAUCCAUUCCUGCAACAAUCCCGGGACGUACAAGAACACGUUAUCAAGGGGAACUUCUGUCACCUGUAAUCAUUGUUUUGGAGAAGAGAGGAGAUUUGACGCCAUCUUGACAACACUCAUCAUCUAGUGAAAACCAGGGAAAACACACCGGGCCCAGUUGAACAGAACUGUU
rnacentral:lncRNA from 1 species